rnacentral:rRNA from 1 species
AAAUGAAUAGACGGGGGCCCGCACAAGCGGAGGAACAUGUGGUUUAAUUCGAUGAUACGCGAGGAACCUUACCCGGGCUUGAAAUGGAGUGGAAUAACCGUGAAAGCGGUUAGCCGGCAACGGCCACUUUGUAGGUGCUGCAUGGUUGUCGUCAGCUCGUGCCGUGAGGUGUCGGCUUAAGUGCCAUAACGAGCGCAACCCUUACCGUUAGUUACCAUCGGGUAAUGCCGGGGACUCUAUCGGGACUGCCACCGUAAGGUGUGAGGAAGGUGGGGAUGACGUCAAAUCAGCACGGCCCUUACGUCCGGGGCGACACACGUGUUACAAUGGGGGGUACAGAGGGUCGCUACACAGCGAUGUGAUGCUAAUCUCUAAAACCUCUCUCAGUUCGGAUCGGAGUCUGCAACUCGACUCCGUGAAGCUGGAUUCGCUAGUAAUCGCGCAUCAGCCAUGGCGCGGUGAAUACGUUCCCGGGCCUUGUACACACCGCCCGU